UACGGAGGGAGCUAGCGCUGUUCGGAAUUACUGGGCGUAAAGCGCACGUUAGGCGGCUUUUUAAGUCAGGGGUGAAAUCCCGGGGCUCAACCCCGGAACUGCCCUUGAAACUGGAGAGCUAGAAUCUUGGAGAGGCGAGUGGAAUUCCGAGUGUAGAGGUGAAAUUCGUAGAUAUUCGGAAGAACACCAGUGGCGAAGGCGACUCGCUGGACAAGUAUUGACGCUGAGGUGGCGAAAGCGUGGGAGCAAACAGG
rnacentral:rRNA from 1 species